rnacentral:rRNA from 1 species
UAGGGGAAAUCUUCCACAAUGGGCGCAAGCCUGAUGGAGCAACACCGCGUGAGUGAAGAAGGGUUUUCGGCUCGUAAAGCUCUGUUGUUAAAGAAGAACACGUAUGAGAGUAACUGUUCAUACGUUGACGGUAUUUAACCAGAAAGUCACGGCUAACUACGUGCCA